GGGACAUGUAUGAUCGGGGAAGGCGGGCCCUGCCGGCAGUCAGACUCAAAUGACCAAUCUGAUUGGUGGAGUGCUAACCCGCAAAUGAUGAGCAGGAUGGGCGUGUCUAGAGUCUCUCAAAAUCUGACAAUUUGUUUUUUAAAUUGCCCUUCGUCGAUCUGAAAUUAAGACAGAUUCAGCAACUUGAUGGCCUAUUUCUUGCUUUAAAAGGUUUUUAGAAACA